UACGAAGGGGACUAGCGUUGUUCGGAAUUAUUGGGCGUAAAGAGCUCGUAGGCGGUCUGUCGCGUCGGCUGUGAAAACCCGGAGCUCAACUCCGGGCCUGCAGUCGAUACGGGCAAACUGGAGUGUUGCAGGGGAGACUGGAAUUCCUGGUGUAGCGGUGAAAUGCGCAGAUAUCAAGGAGGACACCGGUGGCGAAGGCGGGAUCUCUGGG
rnacentral:rRNA from 1 species